rnacentral:tRNA from 1 species
GGGCCUAUGGUUCAGUGGUAGAACACGGCAUUCGCAUUGCCGGGACACCGGUUCGAUUCCGGUUAGGUCCACCA